AUUCUGCCCAUGCGGGGAAGGAUGAGAAGCUUCGAUUAAGGUUCGAUUCGAGCGUAGCGAGAAAGCGUUGCCGCAGGCAACGACCCGAAGGGCGAAGCGCUACGCGCCGAGUAAUCCUUCCCCCACCACCA
rnacentral:sRNA from 1 species